GCGAGAUAGCUUAGUUGGCUAGAGCGUUCGGUUCAUACCCGAAAGGUCAGCGGUUCGAAUCCGCUUCUCGC
rnacentral:tRNA from 1 species